CCGACGGGCAGGCGGCGGCCGGCGCGGUCGGCACGCUGGGCGCGGGCAACCCGCUGUUCGAUACGGUGCUGACGGCC
rnacentral:tRNA from 1 species